rnacentral:misc_RNA from 1 species
CCGGAGCCAGACGUCCGCUGUGCCGUCCUCACAGCAAGGCCUGCUCCGAGGCCCCGGGCUAAGAGGCCGGUGUCACCAUACAGCGGGUACAAUGGGCAGCUGCUGACCAGUGUGUACCAGCCCACUGAGAUGGCCCUGAUGCACAAAGUUCCGUCCGAAGGAGCUUACGACAUCAUCCUCCCACGGGCCACCGCCAACAGCCAGGUGAUGGGCAGUGCCAACUCGACCCUGCGGGCUGAAGACAUGUACUCGGCCCAGAGCCACCAGGCGGCCACACCGCCGAAAGACGGCAAGAACUCUCAGGUCUUUAGAAACCCCUACGUGUGGGACUGAGUCAGCGGUGGCGAGGAGAGGCGGGCGGAUUUGGGGAGGGCCCUGAGGACCUGGCCCCGG